rnacentral:rRNA from 1 species
UCGACGCAGUCUUUUAGACUGAGUGGCGGACGGGUGAGUAACGCGUGAGAAUCUACCUUCAGGACGGGGACAACCGUUGGAAACGACGGCUAAUCCCCGAUGUGCCGAGAGGUAAAACGGAGUUUUCCGCCUGAAGAGGAGCUCGCGUCCGAUUAGUUAGUUGGUGAGGUAAAGGCUCACCAAGGCAGCGAUCGGUAGCUGGUCUGAGAGGAUGAGCAGCCACACUGGGACUGAGACACGGCCCAGACUCCUACGGGAGGCAGCAGUGGGGAAUUUUCCGCAAUGGGCGAAAGCCUGACGGAGCAACGCCGCGUGUGGGAAGAAGGCCUUUGGGCUGUCAACCACUUUUCUCAGGGAAGAAGUUCUGACGGUACCUGAGGAAUCAGCCUCGGCUAACUCCGUGCCAGCAGCCGCGGUAAUACGGAGGAGGCAAGCGUUAUUCGGAAUUAUUGGGCGUAAAGCGUCCGCAGGGGGCUCAUCAAGUCUGCUGUCAAAGGUCGGAGCUCAACUCCGGUUCGGCAGUGGAAACUGGUGGGCUAGAGGGCGACAGGGGUAGAGGGAAUUCCCAGUGUAGCGGUGAAAUGCGUAGAGAUUGGGAAGAACACCGGUGGCGAAAGCGCUCUACUGGGUCGCACCUGACCCUCAGGGACGAAAGCUAAGGUAGCGAAAGGGAUUAGAUACCCCUGUAGUCUUAGCCGUAAACGAUGGAUACUAGGCGUGGUUGG